rnacentral:rRNA from 1 species
GAUGAACGCUGGCGGCGUGCCUAAUACAUGCAAGUCGAGCGAACGGACGAGAAGCUUGCUUCUCUGAUGUUAGCGGCGGACGGGUGAGUAACACGUGGAUAACCUACCUAUAAGACUGGGAUAACUUCGGGAAACCGGAGCUAAUACCGGAUGAUAUUUUGAACCGCAUGGCUCAAAAGUGAAAGACGGUCUUGCUGUCACUUAUAGAUGGAUCCGCGCUGCAUUAGCUAGUUGGUAAGGUAACGGCUUACCAAGGCAACGAUGCAUAGCCGACCUGAGAGGGUGAUCAGCCACACUGGAACUGAGACACGGUCCAGACUCCUACGGGAGGCAGCAGUAGGGAAUCUUCCGCAAUGGGCGAAAGCCUGACGGAGCAACGCCGCGUGAGUGAUGAAGGUCUUCGGAUCGUAAAACUCUGUUAUUAGGGAAGAACAUAUGUGUAAGUAACUGUGCACAUCUUGACGGUACCUAAUCAGAAAGCCACGGCUAACUACGUG